UCGCCUGUUUAACAAAAACAUGUCCUUUUGUAAAUUUAUUUAAGGUCUAAUCUGCCCUAUGAUUAAUUAAAUGGCCGCGGUACAUUAACCGUGCAAAGGUAGCAUAAUCAUUUGUCUUUUAAUUGGAGGCUGGUAUGAACGAUUGGACGAGAAACAUUCUUUCUUUAUUAUAUUUAAUUGAAUUUUAUUUUUAAGUCAAAAAGCUUAAAUUUUUUUAUAGGACGAGAAGACCCUAUAGAAUUUUAUAUACUUAUUUUUUUAAUAAUUUGGUUUUUAUUUAUUAUAAAUCGAGAUUAUAUUUUGUUGGGGAGACAGGAAAAUUUUUUUAACUUUUUUUAUUUAAUUUCAUUGAUUUAUGUUUUUUUGAUCCAUUUUUAAUGAUUAAAAGAUUAAAUUACCUUAGGGAUAACAGCGUUAUUCUUCUGGAGAGUUCUUAUCGAUAGAAGAGUUUGCGACCUCGAUGUUGGAUUAAAA
rnacentral:rRNA from 1 species